UACGAAGGGGGCUAGCGUUGCUCGGAAUGACUGGGCGUAAAGGGCUCGUAGGUGGCCAACUAAGUCGGACGUGAAAUCCCUCAGCUUAACUGGGGAACUGCGUCCGAUACUGGAUGGCUUGAGUUUGGGAGAGGGAUGCGGAAUUCCAGGUGUAGCGGUGAAAUGCGUAGAUAUCUGGAGGAACACCGGUGGCGAAGGCGGCAUCCUGGACCAACACUGACACUGAGGAGCGAAAGCCAGGGGAGCAAACGGG
rnacentral:rRNA from 1 species